rnacentral:rRNA from 1 species
AUGACAAGGGCCAAGCAUCCCUCGAAGACAAUCAUGACGACAUCUCAACCCUUCGAAUAUACUCGGGUGCACAUAAUCCUCUACAAGACUGAAGUGCAGGAUGUCUUCGGACGCUUCGCCAACCGUGCCAUGAAUAACUAUGGCGUCAAGAUCAAGCAUAUCAGAAGUGACAAUGGCACAGAGUUCAAGAACACCGGCCUCGACCUUUACCUGGAUACAUUGGGCAUCGCUCAUGAGUUCUCCGCUCCAUAUACACCUCAGCAGAAUGGCAUCAAUCUGAAGCAAGUACCACUCUACUGCGACAACGAAAGCGCCAUCAAGAUUGCCAACAACCCAGUUCAGCACUCGAAGACAAAUCACAUUGAAAUUCGUCAUCACUUUCUCAGAGAUCAUGUCAUGAAGGAAGAUAUUGAUGUGAACCGCCAGGGGCACCUGCAAUUCUUACAACAUCAUAUCAACUCUCCCGAAGCUAGUUCCUAUCUGACCAGCAGACGGAAGCCUUUGACAGUUUGA